GACGGCUGGUGGCGUGGGACCCUCCCCGCGUGGGCAUCCCCCCUGGGAGGGGACUCUCCUCUGAGCCACCUUGGGAUUGAGUCCUCUGGGUAGAAGUGUCAGGAGUGGGGACCCUGCCCCAAGGCAAGGGGGGGCUCGUGACCCCUCAGUCCUGGUGGAGACAGGAGCUCUGCUGAGCCCACACCCCCAGGCCACCUCCACUGCAGGUGUCCUCGUGUGGCUCCAGGCAGCUUUUCUUACUCAGCAGCGAGAAGGGGGUGGUGAUGGUGAGCAGCCAGCAGCCCUGGGAGCAGCAUCUCAGCAGCCCCCGGGGCCUGAGGGUGCCAGGGAAGGCUGCAGCCCCUGCCCGGAGCAGGCUGGGCGUGCUCCAGGGGGGUCCUGCUGGGAGUGAGGGUCCCCUGAGCUGGAGGCUCAGGGGCAGCUCGCAGGGGCGGGGAGGGGGGCGUAUUUAUUUGAUUUCAUGCACUCUUUUGCCAUUGAGUUUUUGCGUUGAAAGGAAGAAAGGGGCGAGCUUAGGGAGAGGAGAGAGAGAGGCCACGGGCAGUGCUGGUGGCUGUGCCCCAUCACGUGGCUCAUCUUGGAUGGUGGGGUGAAAGCUGGGGGGCUGUGAUGUGGGUCAUCCUCGAGGAGGGGCUGUGUGUGUGUGGGGAGGGGGGGAUGUGGGUGCCAGGCCUCUGGAUGCAGCGUGGGGUCCAUCCUGCUCCAAGCUCGGGUGACCCACAUUGCUCAGGGAGGUGCCACAGGGUCCCCAGCCAGGGCUGUGGGGCUCCUGUGGGGUCAGUGCCACCAUGCCUGUCCCAGUGUCUCACUGCCCACCCCAGGGGUGCCAGGAGAGCCGAUCCAGGAGCUGUCAGCAAGAGGGGUGCACCCACCUGCCAGGGGCUGGGGCUCCAUGAGGAUGGGGACCAUGUGGUCCUGCUGUGUGUCAGGACCCCAGACUGACCCCGCUGCCCCAUGGGGCAGGAACAGGCCAGGGAUGUCCAUCCCACACAGCUGCCAGGAGCAGCAAGGUUUUGGGGGGGUUCAGGCUGGUGACCAGCAGGAGCAGCUGGUCUGGAGAUGAUGGAGGGGCUGGCAGGAGGUGGUGGGAGCUGCUGCUGUGUCCCGUGGGGUCUCUGCUGCGCCAUCCUUUCUCCUGGGCAGCUCUCUGUGACCCCCAGGCCCUGGCUUGCAGCAGGGUCAGUGCACUGAACCAGCACAUUUCCCCAGCCCAGCUCUUCCCUCCUUGCCCCAGCACCAGCUCCUCUGCCACGGAGCAGCUGCUGGGUCCCAGCCAGCCCCAGGGGCAGGGUGACCCACGGGUGGCACCUCCUGCUCCUGUCCUGACCCACGCGGCUGUGGCAGAGCGUGACAGAGGAGCCCCAUGUGCCACCGCUCCCCUUCACCCGGGGCACACGGCAGGCACGGUCUCUAAAGACAUUCUUACGAGUUAAUUAAUUAUGUUUACAUUAUUUGAUCAUGUACAGAAUUUAAUAUAUUCUAUUAUAUAUAAUCUUUCUUGAAUGCUUUUUUAAAAAGGAUUAUUCUUUGGUCAGGAUCAUUACCGCAUUCCUUUUAUACAUCACCUCUCGUUUCAGGCAUCUUUCAAAUCCUUGGAAACCGAUUGCAAGUGGUUAUUUUAUCCCUGACCCCCCAGUUCAGCACGUGGGUGUGAGGGACCCAGAGGCAGGAGGGCAGCUCUGGCUGCCCUGGAGGAGAUGGGGGGCUCUGCCCCCCAGGAAUGGGAGAAAGGGAAGGGGUCCUGGCUUUUCCAGGCACAGAUCCAGCAGCACACCAAUGCUGGGCAGGCAUUUGGAGAUGGGAUUCUCCCACGCAGGGAGCUCCCCGAGCCCCCUUCGGUGUCACGGCCACGGGCCGGCCAUCACCGUGGCGGGAGGAAAACGUCCCCUCGUCCCGCAGCCGCCCCCGCGCCCCUGCCCCUGCGUGGGCACGGCCCCUCGCCAAGCUGUCGUGUGGUUCGUGACCGUGGGGUUGUCGUGUGUGCGGUGCAGUCGUGUCGGUAACGUCGUGUGUUCAGUGGUCGUGCGGGGCGAGGGGCGGCGGGGGCAGGCACGGGCACCCCCGAGCGCUGGCACCCCGGGGGCUGCGGGGACAGGUGACCAAAGGACCCGGGCACGUGGGGACAGGUGACCGAAGGACCCAGGGCCAUGGGAACAGGUGACCGAAGGACCUGGGCACAUGGGGACAGGUGACCAAAGGACCCAGGCAUGUGGGGACAGGUGACCAAAGGACCUGGGCAUGUGGGGCUGCGGUGGUCAGGUGCAGACAGACUGAGGGUGUGGGGCAGGCAGGUCCUGGGGCUGUGCCACCACUGCCACUGUGGUUGUGGGCGACACCAGGGCUUUGUGUCGCCGGCUGAGGCUCCAGGUUCCCUCUCUGGAAUCAGCAAGGUCACCUCAUGUCCCACCACACUCAGCUUCAUCCUCCCUUCUCCAUCACCCCCUUCCCUCUGGGACCAGGAGCUGCCUCUGCUCCCGCCCUGCCCUGCCUGGAGCCGGUGUGGGGGACACCCGAGGGCCCCCCCGGGCUGCUUCCCCCGGCGGUUUUGGGUCCUUUCCCUCGUAUUUAUAGCUGUACAGACUGGGGGGGAGGGUCGGAGGCGUCAUCUCUCACAGCAUCUAUCGUAGGCAAUGGUAACUUUCUUGGUUGUGCUAUUAGAGUUUGUGUAUGUGGCAAUGUAAAGAACUGUGUAUAGUGCAUUGUACAGCAUAUUUUCAUGAAUAAAAUUGUUUUAAAUAUUA